GUGUUGGAAAUGUUAGCAGCUAGCAAGUGUCUCUCUGCUAUUUUAAAUGAUACACAGACGAUCUUUUGUUGUUUAAAAGCUCAUUGCUUUAGUGCUGGUAGAUGCUGCUUAUUUUUCAAGACGGUUUUAAUACCUUUAUAUUGAUUUGUAACAAUACCAGCUUCACUUUGAGAGAACCUAGAUGAUAAUUGUAAAGAAGCUUGGAGUCAUAAUAUAUUUUAACGUAAUAUGUUUGCUGUUCUUCAUCUUUUUAAAUAUGAAGUCUAUCCAUGUUUGUGUUUACAGAGGUCAUGUACACUGUGGUCAACUUUGUGGACGCUGAAGAGGUUUCUGGGGAAAGAUGAUAAAAAUAUAAUUAAGUAACAGUGGAAGCUAAAACAUCAGACUGAUCCAGACACUGAAGAAAUUGAUGUCACUGCAAUCUGGCCAAAAUGAUACAACUAUAUUGAAGUAGCCUACAGUAAUGAAGCUGCAGAACGUCACAGAGACUCUGAGGACAUCAACACAGAAAAUCAAGGCUCCAAAGAGAUGUCUGUCCAGAUGAGGGUGCAUCAACGUUACCUUUGCUGACAAGUAUAUGCUUUUAGCAGUUAACUUAACUCAAACCAUUUAAGGAAAUCGGUUGCCUUAAACCAUUAAGUUUUUAGAAACAUACAUUUGAGUACUGUGAACUUAAGUCUUGUGCAAUUAUGCAAUUAUAUUUAGGUAGUGUGAACUUAAAUAUAAGUGCUUAACUGCAUGUGACUCAAUUUGUUUAAGUUCACAGUACUCAAAUCUAUGUGUUUUAAAACUUGAAUGGUUUAAUGCAACCGGUUUUCUUAAAUGUGAGAAAUUACAGUGUUACAGUGAGAAAUGUUUGAAUAAUUCCAAGACAGAGCUCUGUGAUUGAUUCUACAC